rnacentral:rRNA from 1 species
GGGCGAGGCCGGGCACUCUGGAGGGACUGCCGGCGACAAGCCGGAGGAAGGGUGGGGAUGACGUCAAGUCAUCAUCGGCCCUUAUGUCCGAGGGCGACACACGUGCUAACAAUGGCCGGCACAGGCGGGAAGCGGAGGGGCGACCCUGAGCGGAUCCCUUGAAAGCCGGUCCCAGUUCGGAUUGCAGUCUGCAACUCGACUGCAUGAAGUUGGAAUCGCUAGUAAUCGCGGAUCAGCCAAGCCGCGGUGAAUACGUUCCCGGGCCUU